GAUCGAGUUUGAUCCUGGCUCAGAUUGAACGCUGGCGGCAUGCCUUACACAUGCAAGUCGAACGGCAGCACGGGUGCUUGCACCUGGUGGCGAGUGGCGAACGGGUGAGUAAUACAUCGGAACGUACCUUAUCGUGGGGGAUAACGCAGCGAAAGCUGCGCUAAUACCGCAUACGCCCUGAGGGGGAAAGCGGGGGACCGUAAGGCCUCGCGCGAUUAGAGCGGCCGAUAUCUGAUUAGCUUGUUGGUGGGGUAAAAGCCCACCAAGGCGACGAUCAGUAGCUGGUCUGAGAGGACGAUCAGCCACACUGGGGACUGAGACACGGGCCCAGACUCCGUACGGGGAGGCAGCAGUGGGGAAUCUUGCACAAUGGAGGAAACUCUGAUGCAGCGAUGCCGCGUGAGUGAAGAAGGCCUUUGGGGGUUGU
rnacentral:rRNA from 1 species